GGAUUUUGUUUCUAACUACCCGGAGAGAUGCCACUUCUGGAGGAGCAGCGAAUACAUCAUACAUCGUUCGUCUUAACCUUGUCUAAAAGGAAACGGUUGGAACAACUCUGAUGUAGGUAGAGAAGAGUCAGUGGCUGGUGAAGUAAGAGGGAUACAGCUGUCUGCUGAUUCAAGGUCCCUGCCCCGUCGCCUCAACAUCCUCAAGAUCCUGUAGGCUACUGCUGCUGCUCCUUGCUUCAGCACCUUUCCCCUGAUGCCUGACACCCCUCAUCACCAAAUCAGCCCAGUCAACAUGGACCCAACAUGGACCCAAGUCUCCACCACAGUGUGCACAAUACACUAUACAGACAGGGACGAGAACAAAGGUACAAUUGGUCUGAGGGGAGGACACCGCAGACAGCUGAUCAACUCCAUGUCAUCUAAUCAGGCCAUGUAAAGGACCAUGAAGGGAUGGACUUGGUGGAGGACAACAAUGUGACACCUGAAAAGAGCACAUGGAGAUCUCUCAUCCUCAUCCCUCAUGCUUAUAUUGCAUUUCCUAUAGGCCUAGAUUCUGAU